UACGAGGUGUGCAAGGUGACAAAAGUUUUGGCGAGGAGGAGCAGAGAAACGGUUUCUGCUACAGGCAAGGAUGCGAUUUUUGUUUUGGCAGACGCGGAGCGGAUUGACAGAGGAGAAUUUGCAGAGUUGUUGUCUUGAUCUGGAGCCAUCAUCCAUUUUGGCGGGUAGAGAGUAAAGUUUGAUAUACAGAGAAUACCAAGGCUAUUUGGGGAGUGAAUCCAGAGGCGCAAUCGCAGAGAGAUAAAACACUACGAAAAAAUCAUCAUCAUCCGUUCCUGGAGGAGGCAUCUUCAAUUCACUAACCAAGAAAAAAAACCUAGAGUGUUACAGUUAUUCACCAUUCACUCGGAAAGAGGAAACGAAGCCAGCAAAAAAGAAGGAGAUCAUCACCGGAAGCACGAAUUCGACCAAAGUAAUCAGAGCUCCAAGAGGUAAGUGCACCUUGCUCACACCUUGUUGCACAAUCGUCAUGUAAGCUAAUCGCACUGUAUGCUGCUUGAUAUUGCUCUGUUUUGAAUAUGAUUUUAUGGUGUGAAUUUUUCGUUUCUUUGUCAUCAUCCAACCCAUGAACACACUUCAUCUUUAACCAAACCCUCUUGAUCCAUGCUUUGACUCCUCUUCGCCAUCAAAGUCAUCAAAAUGCCCUCCAUAUCCAAUUUGGCCAUUAACAUCCACAUUGUCAUCCUAUUUGUUGCUCUCUGCUCAUAGUUUCCCUGAUGUGAACAGAAAAACAAAAUAAGCUAAACCUAACCUAAACAACACCCUUAACCCUUCAUUCCCAACAAACCUGUUUUGAUACGGUAACCUUGAUGGCCGACGAGGCAUCGCCUCAAUCUCUGGCCCAACUCAGCGUUGGAGGCCCAUUUGCACACUUUUAAAACCUCCGUAGGGUGCGCCUAAGCGUUCUCUACAGACCCUAGCAUUUUGCUUUCACUUUCAAGAACAUUCUAAAGGUUUUCCUCCACUUUUCUCAUCACCCAUUCACCAAAAUCUCAUAGUUCUUCACUUUUCAUCCAUUCCAUUGAGAAAGUUGGGGUUUUUGGUGAGAACAUUACAUUGGAGAAGCAUCCAUCAUCAUUCAC
rnacentral:lncRNA from 1 species